CCUACGGGUGGCUGCAGUGGGGAAUAUUUGGCAAUGGGCGCAAGCCUGACCCAGCAACGCCGCGUGAAGGAAGAAGGCCUUCGGGUUGUAAACUUCUUUUAAGAGGGAAGAGCAGAAGACGGUACUUCUUGAAUAAGUCACGUCUAACUACGUCCCAGCAGCCGGGGUAAUACGUAGGUGGCACGCGUUGUCCGGAUUUACUGGGUGUAAAGGGCGUGCAGCCGGGAAGACAAGUCAGAUGUGAAAUCCGGGGGCUCAACCGCGAAACUGCAUGUGAAACUGUUUUUCUUGAGUACCGGAGAGGUAAGCGGAAUUCCUUGUGUAGCGGUGAAAUGCGUAGAUAUAAGGAAGAACACCAGUGGCGAAGGCAGAUGACUGGACGGCAACUGACGGUGAGGCGCGAAAGCGUGGGGAGCAAACAGGAUUAGAUACCCUAGUAGUC
rnacentral:rRNA from 1 species